AUACCUUUCUCGGCCUUUUGGCUAAGAUCAAGUGUAGUAUCUGUUCUUAUCAGUUUAGUAUCUGAUACGCUUGUCCAUCAGACGGCACGAUAUUAAAUUAAUUUUUUUCAUGGGGAGUUCCCACCACCGCAGGUUCUCACGCGUCGCCUUUGCGCUGCACUACUGCAAAGGCCUGGCGCACCCCAA